rnacentral:rRNA from 1 species
UUGGGCUCCGAGCCCAUUAGUGUCGGAGAGAAGUUGUUAAGCAAGCUGCCUGGGAAGUACGGUCGCAAGACUGAAACUUAAGGGAAUUGGCGGGGGAGCACAGCAACGGGUGGAGCGUGCGGUUUAAUUGGAUUCAACGCCGGAAAACUCACCGGAGGCGACGGUUACAUGAAGGCCAGGCUGAUGACCUUGCUUAAUUUUCCGAGAGGUGGUGCAUGGCCGCCGUCAGUUCGUACCGUAAGGCGUUCUGUUAAGUCAGAUAACGAACGAGACCCUCAUCUUUAAUUGCAACUAGUAAGUCCGCUUAUUGGGCACAUUAAAGAAACCGCUGGCGAUAAGUCAGAGGAAGGCGGGGGCAACGGUAGGUCAGUAUGCCCUGAAUCCUCCGGGCUACACGCGCGCUACAAAGGCUAGGACAAUGAGUUUCAACACCGAAAGGUGAAGGUAAUCUCGAAACCUAGUCAUAGUUCGGAUUGAGGGUUGAAACUCACCCUCAUGAAGCUGGAAUCCGUAGUAAUCGCAGAUCAAUAUCCUGCGGUGAAUAUGCCCCUGCUCCUUGCACACACCGCCCGUCAAACCAUGCGAGUUGGGUUUGAGUGAGGAUGUAGUUUUUGCUACGUUCAAACUUAGGCUUAGUAAGCGGGGUUAAGUCGUAACAAGGUAGCC